rnacentral:tRNA from 1 species
AAGGGAGACCUAAUUCAGGUAGGAGACGAAAAAAAAGUAGUCCCUACCAAGAAUCAAUCCCAAAAGGUCGGAGCGAGGCGAAAUUGGCUUUCAAACUAGGUUCUGGGUUCACACAAGACCUGAAUCAGGAACAAGGGCUAUUAGCUCAGGUGGUUAGAGCGCACCCCUGAUAAGGGUGAGGUCCCUGGUUCGAGUCCAGGAUGGCCCACCUGCACAGGUGGCAAAAACAAGAGAAGCGAGGAAUCAGCACCUUAUCUUAUCUAUAUAUAAGAGAGAAUGCUGGCUCUGAGUAAAGAGUCCAGAGGAACCUUGAAAACUGCAUAGAGCUAGGUGAAAAAGCCAAAAAAGAAGACCGCCUCAA